CCACAACAUGAGGAACUGUAUUAAAGGGUCGCGCCAUUAGGAAGGUUGAGAACCACUGCUCUUAAGUAUUUUAAAUUACAUUUAACAGUAAUCUCUUGCCAACAAUGCUGGAUUUAUCAUUAAGCUAAAUUAACUAAAGCUUGGGCCUCAGCUUUCAGGGGCCCUCUAAAUUUUAAGAAAAACUUGAACAGAGAAAAAUUUUUUAUGCUAUCAUUUAAAAUAAGUGAUUGAAAUUCACCUCUGGUAAUCAAAGGUCGUCAAGAUGGCUGCUGAUUUUUAUAGUCUAUUUACUUUUUAAAUCAUUUGAAAGCAAUAUUAAAAUUUUGAUCACUUACUAAUGAUAGAAUCUAUGAUUUUAAUCGCUAUUGGGCAUU
rnacentral:lncRNA from 1 species